rnacentral:rRNA from 1 species
GCAAACCACUAGCUUGCUAGUGGGGUUGUAGGACUGCAUAAAAGACUAAAAGCAGAUAGCAGAAUAAACUGGAAAGUUUAAUCAUAGAGGGUGAUAAUCCCGUAUGCGAAAUCUCCUUUUUACUUAGCAGUAUCCUGAGUAGGGCGGGGCACGAGAAACCCUGUCCGAAUCCGGGUCGACCACGAUCCAAGGCUAAAUACUAGACGGCUACCGAUAGCGUACAAGUACCGUGAGGGAAAGGUGAAAAGAACUGAGGUGAUCAGAGUGAAAUAGAACCUGAAACCGUUUGCUUACAAUCAUUCAGAGCCCUAUGAUUUAUCAGGGUGAUGGACUGCCUUUUGCAUAAUGAGCCUGCGAGUUGUGGUAUCUGGCAAGGUUAAGGAAACCCGGAGCCGUAGCGAAAGCGAGUCUUAAUAGGGCGCUAAGUCAGAUGCUGCAGACCCGAAACGAUGUGAUCUAUCCAUGAGCAGGUUGAAACCGGUGUAAGAACCGGUGGAGGACCGAACCGACGGCUGUUGAAAAAGCUCCGGAUGACUUGUGGAUAGGGGUGAAAGGCCAAUCAAACAUCGUGAUAGCUGGUUCUCUCCGAAAUAUAUCGAGGUAUAGCGUUGUGUCGUAAUUAUAAGGGGUAGAGCACUGAAUGGGCUAGGGCAUACACCAAUGUACCAAACCCUAUCAAACUCCGAAUACUUAUAAUGUAAUCACAGCAGUCAGGCGGCGAGUGAUAAAAUCCGUCGUCGAGAGGGGAACAACCCAGACUACCGACUAAGGUCCCUAAAUCUUAUUUAAGUGGAAAACGAUGUGGAGUUACUGAAACAACCAGGAGGUUGGCUUAGAAGCAGCCAUCCUUUAAAGAUAGCGUAAUAGCUCACUGGUCUAGUGAUUCUGCGCGGAAAAUAUAACGGGGCUAAAAUAAGUACCGAAGUCGUAGAUUUGCACCUUGUGCAAGUGGUAGGAGAGCGUUCUAUUCAGCGUCGAAGCCAUACCGGCAAGGAGUGGUGGAGCGGAUAGAAGUGAGCAUGCAGGCAUGAGUNNUACCGGUAAGGAGUGUUGGAGCGGAUAGGAGUGAGCAUGCAGGCAUGAGUAGCGAUAAAAUAUGUGAGAAUCAUAUUCGCCGUAAACCCAAGGUUUCCUACGCGAUGCUCGUCAUCGUAGGGUUAGUCGGGUCCUAAGCAAAGUCCGAAAGGGGUAUGCGAUGGAAAAUCGGUUAAUAUUCCGAUACCAAUAUUAGUGUGCGAUGGAAGGACGCUUAAAGUUAGGGGAGCCAGCUGAUGGAAGUGCUGGUCUAAGUGUGUAGGUUGAGUUAUAGGCAAAUCCGUAACUCUUUAUCCGAGACAUUAAAGGCUCUUGACGCUCUUCGGAGUAGAUUGAGAAUCCUUGAUACUAUCGAGCCAAGAAAAGUUUCUAAGUUUAGCUAAUAUUGCCCGUACCGUAAACCGACACAGGUGGGUGGGAUGAGUAUUCUAAGGCGCGUGGAAGAACUCUCUUUAAGGAACUCUGCAAAAUAGCACCGUAUCUUCGGUAUAAGGUGUGCCUAACUUUGUUAAGGAUUUACUCNNGCGAAGCAUCUGAUCGAAGCCCGAGUAAACGGCGGCCGUAACUAUAACGGUCCUAAGGUAGCGAAAUUCCUUGUCGGUUAAAUACCGACCUGCAUGAAUGGCGUAACGAGAUGGGAGCUGUCUCAAAGAGGGAUCCAGUGAAAUUGUAGUGGAGGUGAAAAUUCCUCCUACCCGCGGCAAGACGGAAAGACCCCGUGGACCUUUACUAUAGCUUGACACUGCUGCUUGGAUAAAGAUGCGCAGGAUAGGUGGGAGGCUUUGAUCCAUAUACUCCGGUGUAUGGUGAGCCAUUGUUGAGAUACCACUCUUCUUUAUUUGGGUAGCUAACUAGCCUAAGUUAUCCUUAGGUAGGACAAUGUCUGGUGGGUAGUUUGACUGGGGCGGUCGCCUCCCAAAAUGUAACGGAGGCUUACAAAGGUUGGCUCAAACCGGUUGGAAAUCGCUUGUAGAGUGUAAAGGCAUAAGCCAGCUUGACUGCGAGAGAGACAAUUCGAGCAGAGACGAAAGUCGGUCUUAGUGAUCCGGUGGUUCUGUGUGGAAGGGCCAUCGCUCAACGGAUAAAAGGUACCCCGGGGAUAACAGGCUGAUCUCCCCCAAGAGUCCACAUCGACGGGGAGGUUUGGCACCUCGAUGUCGGCUCGUCGCAUCCUGGGGCUGGAGCAGGUCCCAAGGGUUUGGCUGUUCGCCAUUUAAAGCGGUACGUGAGCUGGGUUCAGAACGUCGCGAGACAGUUCGGUCCCUAUCUGAUAUGGGCGUUGGAAAUUUGAGAGGAUCUGCCUUUAGUACGAGAGGACCGAGGUGGACGAACCUCUGGUGUACCGGUUGUUCCGCCAGGAGCAAGUGCCGGGUAGCUAAGUUCGGAACGGAUAACCGCUGAAAGCAUCUAAGCGGGAAGCCGGCCUCAAGAUUAGAUUUCCCUGGGAACUCGAUUCCCCUGAAGACUCCAGAGACACUAUCUGGUUGAUAGGCUGCAGGUGUAAGCAUCGCGAGGUGUUCAGCCGAGCAGUACUAAUAAGUCGUGAGGCUUGGCC